rnacentral:siRNA from 1 species
AGAGGAUGCUGAAGUUCUUAGUG